AUCCCCAGGACCGGAGAAAGAUGAAAGAAAGCCAAGAUAAGGAUAUUAUAAUGUCCUGACACACACAGAUGGCAGAAGAAACAGUAAUUCAAAGGCCCUGAGGCAUGAGUUUGAUUUUUGUGUGUGUGUGUUUAAUGUGUUUGAAGAACUGAAAGAAGGCUGAAGGGAGAAUGGCAAGAUGCUGUUUUCUUUGAACACUGAGGAUAUCUGAAAAAAUGUAAAGAUGGUGGGAAGAAGUAACCCAAUAGAGAACAUAUUUUCUGACAUUAUUCCUGCUGAGAGUUGAUGGGAAGAUAAAGCAUGCCUGGAGGCAGAGGGAUGGAUUCAAUGACUUCUUGAAGCCCUUGGCAACUGGAUAUGUCUAGGGUUAUGAUUAUGAUUAUGUUUAUUUAUUAACAUUUACACUGGGCUAUUUUAGUUGAUUAGUACAAUGCAAUUACUAAAAAUCUGCAGCUAAAAGUUCUGGGAAAUGUCUACA